rfam:Fukomys damarensis contig74403, whole genome shotgun sequence.
AUUCGCUUCAGCAGUACAUGUACUAAAAUUGGAAAGAUACAGAGAAGGUUAGCAUGGCCCCUGCCCAAGGAUGACACCCAAAUUCCAGAAAUAUACAUCUUAAUC